UGCACUCCAACCUGGGCGACAAAGCGAGACUCCGUCGUCUCAAAAAUAAAAAAGGUCCCCUAGGCCCACGUUGCGAAUGCGGGAUCUGGGGCCCUGUCCCGGGAGGGGCAUUCAGGAGCCAGCCUGGUGCAGGCAUCGCGCGCCAGGCCACAGUCCUAUGCGGCCGGGGAUUCACUGCGGGGGCGAAUCUUUCGGCUUGAGCAGAGCAGCGGCAGCUGCGGGUCCGUCCACUCGUGCUCCGCUCGGUUCCGGCUCCUAGACAGCCCGGGAGCCGCUCUCCGGGCCGAGAGGGACCCCCAGCAUGGCGGCCUUAACACACGCUGCACCACAGUUACCCGACAACCCCUGCGGCUGAGGCGCAGGGCGAGUGCCUCCGGCAGAGCAGCCUGGACCGCGCCGCAUUCUUCAGUGGACGACUGCCCUUGUCAAUCACUGAGGAAACUAGACCAUGGGUGUGGCCGGACAUCCGGGGCUUUCCACCCUCGGAGAGAGGCGGGCUUGAGGUGGGGGAGAUGGAAGGAUGUCAUACCCAAUGGCAAUCAAGGCCUUUGGCCUCGCGGCAGAUUGGCAGGUACUUGAACCACUGAAGCGCCGCAGAGGGAUACAGGCGCUCUGGCAGUGAUUGGUUCAGUUCGCGGGUGGGUGGUUUUCUCCGUGCGUUGGUUCCUCACAGUGGGUAAAUCGGGCACAGUAGAUAUAAUUAACACGGUCCGGGUUGGACAACGACCGCGCUGAGCCCAAAUUACCGCCGAGAUCGUUGGAAAUGUGUGCAACUCAGUGAACUAAAGCGGAGAUUAAAUGGAUGGUAUUCAGUAGAAAAUGGGACAAGACAUGAAUGGACACUUUAC